AAAUAGCAAAUUCUAAAUUUCUGUAAUUUGUUUUGGCUAAUUUAAAAAAAAAAAAAAUACAAAACAUAACAUACAAAAACAUAACAAACAAAAGGAUACCAAACAGAUCAUGGCUUGUUCAAUACCGAUGUAUACUCCUUGUAUGAAAUGCAUGUACUCCUCUUCUGCAUGUGCUUGUCCGAUGAAACAGGACAUGUUGAAUAAAUCGGAAAUGUCCAUACAUUCUCAGCUGCCCAUAGGAGGGGACCUGCCAACAAAGGAAAACAGCCAGCUGAGCGUGGCAUCGGGGUUGAGUGGUAUGAGUGAAUUAUCCAGUAUGAGCGAAUUAUCCAGUAUGAGCGAACUAUCCGGGAUAAGUGAGAUUUCUGUGAUGAGUGACACCUCCGGAAUACCACAACCAAAUGUGCCAAUCAAAUCGGGUGCCAACAAGGUUAACAGGCUCAGUAACUCUUCUGUAGUAAGCCACAUCUCUGUAGCGAGUGUACAUUCGCAUAAAAGCAUAGUAUCCACACCAUCUUUGAACAGUACGACUUCAACACGCACGACGACGACAACGCCUUCGGUAGUUUCCCAGGCUCGAUCAGCCUCCGAAGUCUUCCCCCAUUAUUCUCCAUAUUCCACAUUUUCAACAUCCACAGCAUCGACAGGAACUGUGACAACCAAUUCGUCACAUAUGAACGCAGAAAUGACACCUUCGCAUUAUGCCAAGUGUUUAUCUCGCGUUGCUAAAACCUUUAAACGUGAAAGAAAAACAGAUGCAGUUUUACAUACGUAUUGCAAUGGCGUUUUAGUCAAAGGAUGGGAUAAGAAGGCCAGGAAUUUCGAGUGGGAUAUCUUCUGCUAUUGUCGGACUCGCGCUGGUGGUGGCUUGCUAAUGGAACAGACCCAUCUUAGAGCUGCUUAUUUGUUAAAAGAAAUAUAUUUAGAAAAAGCAGAUAGUCUUGUCAAGUACCUCCAACGGAUACAAAUAAAAGCUCCUCAUGUUCCAAUACCGUCUCACGAAAGCAAUGGAGUCUACUUGUCAGCCACUCUCUCCGAUUUUGACGAGACUGUAUUAAGAUGCAGUGGAAGGUCGUGUCAAUUAUCUUGGUCAUCACACUAUCUCCCGUGCUAUAAAAAUGUGUACUUUCUAAAAAAAAUGAAUCAAGGUACAGUUGAGAAUGAACCAGUCAAUUAUGGAGAAGAGUUUUACAUUUCUACAAUACCAGAUGAUGAUCAUGAGCAAUUGUAUUUGGAAGCCAAUUAUAAAGUCAUCGGUGUCAUGAAUAAUGCAUCAGGGCACUCUUCAAUUGACUUUACCCCACAUGCUUCUGGUUCAUGUCUCUGGAAGGCAAUAGCAGCAAAGCCAGAAGAAAGAGAAGUGAAACAUGGGAAACCAAUCCAUAUUGAUGACAGUGUUCACUUGGUAAAUAUUCGGCUUGGACAGAAACUAGCAGUUGAGCCUAAUUUUGUAUACCGGACGAUGUUUGGCAGGGAAUAUGAGGCGAGCGUGCAUAACCAUACUGCCCUUGGUGGUAGAAAUCGUGCUGAAAAUAGUAUAACAUUUACUUUAAAUGUUUCACCAGUGCGCAAGUGGCCACCAGCAUUCAGUAGCGGGAAAUAAGGGAAAACAUGGAAAUCAUUUGGAUUACAUUUCAUACAAUCAGCUAAACAGCUUGGACCAAAUGCACAGUAGUAUCAAUCCAGUAGAGCAGUAGUGGCACAAUGAUCUAUAAAAGGCGUAACCAACAUCAAAUUAUUUAAAUAAUAAAAACAAAUUAAACUAGUUAC
rnacentral:misc_RNA from 1 species